rnacentral:rRNA from 1 species
GAUGAACGCUGGCGGUAUGCUUAACACAUGCAAGUCGAACGGUGUCUUCGGACACAGUGGCGGACGGGUGAGUAACGCGUGAGAAUCUGGCUUUAGGUCUGGGACAACCACUGGAAACGGUGGCUAAUACCGGAUGUGCCGAAAGGUGAAAGGUUAACUGCCUAAAGAUGAGCUCGCGUCUGAUUAGCUAGUUGGUAGAGUAAGAGCCUACCAAGGCGACGAUCAGUAGCUGGUCUGAGAGGAUGAUCAGCCACACUGGGACUGAGACACGGCCCAGACUCCUACGGGAGGCAGCAGUGGGGAAUUUUCCGCAAUGGGCGAAAGCCUGACGGAGCAAUACCGCGUGAGGGAGGAAGGCUCUUGGGUUGUAAACCUCUUUUCUCAGGGAAGAACACAAUGACGGUACCUGAGGAAUAAGCAUCGGCUAACUCCGUGCCAGCAGCCGCGGUAAUACGGAGGAUGCAAGCGUUAUCCGGAAUGAUUGGGCGUAAAGCGUCCGCAGGUGGCUAUGUAAGUCUGCUGUCAAAGAGCGAAGCUCAACUUCGUAAAGGCAGUGGAAACUACAAGGCUAGAGUGCGUUCGGGGCAGAGGGAAUUCCUGGUGUAGCGGUGAAAUGCGUAGAGAUCAGGAAGAACACCGGUGGCGAAGGCGCUCUGCUAGGCCGCAACUGACACUGAGGGACGAAAGCUAGGGGAGCGAAUGGGAUUAGAUACCCCAGUAGUCCUAGCCGUAAACGAUGGAUACUAGGCGUGGCUUG